rnacentral:lncRNA from 10 species
GGAAACAGGGAAUAUGCACUCAUUUAUCUUAGAGACGUCACAUGGAUGAACAAAACUUAACUAGGCCAGCAAGCAUGAAUAUUCUCUAGUUUGGUCCUUACAUCUUGUCCAGAGUCUGGUUCAGACCAGACAAAGUAGUGACAUUAGUAAGAUUUGUAUCAGGGGCCAUUGCCAGUCUAAUACCAACUGCAACCUAAUAACCCUCCAACAUGUACUGGUUGGAAUGUGAUUAUUUUAUCACUUUGAUUUUUGUAGUGAUAUUAAUUGGCUAAUACGUUAUCAAUUCCUGCUAAAAUAUUUUAAUGUUUUUAAGUAAUUCUGAAAGACUGGAAAUUGCAUAGGAAGACAAAAAUCCUCUCUAUCUCCUGAAGUGUUUAUCGAAGAUAUGAUAUCAUGACCAGGGUUUGGGAAGAACAGAUUGACAGAAUAUUGGUAAUUCUUGAAGAAGAGGACCCCCUCGUCAUCAGCGGCUUCCUGCAGAGAGUUGAACAAAAGUCUUUUCCUAGUAUCCUUCAAGAAAUGAGCUUAAGAAUAUAUCCAAAGUUUGGAGCUCCUGCCGCCCUACCUGGUGGAAUCAAUUGUCCCGUCCGGGAGCCUUGGCAAUGGUCUCUGUGCAGAGGAAAUACGAAUCACCAAUGAGAAUUUUUCUUGUCAGAGAAUCUAAGAAGUUGGUCAUACAUAUCCUCAACCUCCAGCCCGCAUAUUGGACCAGUCAUGUGACAGGAAGUCUGUAAGACAGAAUAUUUAUCAAUCUUCUUUCAAACAGAUGCAAAAUCUAAUGAAAACAGAAAGAGGGUUACCUAUUUUUUAUGUUUACUUAUGAAAAAAUUGUUAGAAUGCUAUGAACUAAAAAGCAUGAUAGUUCUGAUGAAUUAUUACCCUGAUCAUUGUAUUUUCUUGGAAAUGAAACAUGUGUCCUUGUGUAGUUUCCAAUAAAUAUCAAAAGA